rnacentral:sRNA from 1 species
UAAUUGUUAUAAAAUCCAUACAUUAUAAUAUUUUAAACCCGUCCUACCAUCUAAUUCAGUUCGGUAAAAUUAUACAUUAU